AACUUUGGACAAUGGGCGCAAGCCUGAUCUAGCCAUGCAGCGCGAGUUCAGAAGGCAUUCGGGUUGUAAAGCUCUUUCGGACGGAAAGAAAUCGCGCAGGCUAAUCCCCUGCGCGGAUGACGGUACCGUCAGAAGAAGCGCCGGCUAACUAGGUGCCAUCAGCCGCGGUAAUACGUAGGGUGCGAGCGGUAAUCGGAAUUACUGGGCGUAAAGCGUGCGCAGGCGGUUGAUUAAGACAGGCGUGAAAGCCCCGGGCUUAACCUGGGAACUGCGCUUGUGACUGGUCAGCUAGAGUACGGCAGAGGGGGGUGGAAUUCCACGUGUAGCAGUGAAAUGCGUAGAGAUGUGGAGGAACACCGAUGGCGAAGGCAGCCCCCUGGGCCGAUACUGACGCUCAUGCACGAAAGCGUGGGUAGCAAACAGG
rnacentral:rRNA from 1 species